rnacentral:tRNA from 1 species
UGAAUGGGGCGUGGCCAAGUGGUAAGGCAACGGGUUUUGGUCCCGCUAUUCGGAGGUUCGAAUCCUUCCGUCCCAG